rnacentral:rRNA from 1 species
UACAGAGGUCUCAAGCGUUGUUCGGAUUCAUUGGGCGUAAAGGGUGCGUAGGCGGCGCGGUAAGUCGGGUGUGAAAUCUUGGAGCUUAACUCCGAAACUGCAUUCGAUACUGCCGUGCUUGAGGACUGGAGAGGAGACUGGAAUUUACGGUGUAGCGGUGAAAUGCGUAGAUAUCGUAAGGAAGACCAGUGGCGAAGGCGGGUCUCGUGGACAGUUCCUGACGCUGAGGCACGAAGGCCAGGGGAGCAAACGGG